rnacentral:snoRNA from 1 species
CUUAAAUGAUGAACAAAUUCUUUGGUCCGUGUUUAUGACGGGAAGUAAGACCCCCGGUAUGAGUGACAAAGAGAUGUACCUAGACAGUACGAUUCUGAUUUU